CGAAAGCCUGACGGAGCAAGACCGCGUGAGGGAGGAAGGCUCUAGGGUUGUAACCUCUUUUAUCAGGGAAUAAGCAAUGAAGGUACCUGAGGGAAUCAGCAUCGGCUUACUCCGUUGCCAGCAGCCGCGGUAAUACGGAGGAUGCAAGCGUUAUCCGGAAUCAUUGGGCGUAAAGCGUCCGCAGGUGGUAGUUCAAGUCGAUUGUCAAAGGCAGUAGCUUAACUACUGACAGGCAGUGGAAACUGAGUCACUAGAGUGCGGUAGGGGUAGAGGGAAUUCCCGGUGUAGCGGUGAAACGCGUAGAGAUCGGGAAGAACACCAGUGGCGAAAGCGCUCUGCUGGACCAGCACUGACACUGAGGGACGAGAGCUAGGGGAGCG
rnacentral:rRNA from 1 species